UACGGGGGGGGCAAGCGUUGUUCGGAAUUACUGGGCGUAAAGGGCUCGUAGGUGGCCAACUAAGUCAGACGUGAAAUCCCUCGGCUUAACCGGGGAACUGCGUCUGAUACUGGUUGGCUUGAGUUUGGGAGAGGGACGCGGAAUUCCAGGUGUAGCGGUGAAAUGCGUAGAUAUCUGGAGGAACACCGGUGGCGAAGGCGGCGUCCUGGACCAACACUGACGCUCAUGCACGAAAGCGUGGGGAGCAAACAGG
rnacentral:rRNA from 1 species